rnacentral:rRNA from 1 species
UACGGAGGGUGCAAGCGUUGUCCGGAUUUAUUGGGUUUAAAGGGUGCGUAGGCGGCCUGGUAAGUCAGUGGUGAAAGCCCAUAGCUCAACUAUGGAACUGCCAUUGAUACUGCCAGGCUUGAGUACAGACGAGGUAGGCGGAAUUGAUAGUGUAGCGGUGAAAUGCAUAGAUACUAUCAAGAACACCGAUUGCGUAGGCAGCUUACUAGGCUGUAACUGACGCUGAGGCGCGAAAGCGUGGGGAGCGAACAGG